CAAGAAGAUGUCCGAGGAUUCUUGUGUUUGAAAACCACUUGUUCAGAAGGUUGACCGACCCUGCUCUGACCUCAGAAAUGAUCAGGCUAUGGGAGGUGUGGACAGGAGCCAAGAUGACAGCUGAAAAACGCUGCUGCUGCCUGACACAGUCGAGGCUCCUGCGGUCCACCUGCCCAGCAAGUGCCUCCUCCACCCACGACUGGUACCACUCUGGUUCUGAUUCAGGGAACGUUGUAAUGGUCUGUCCUGUCCUUUUAAGAGACAAGCCCCGGCCACCAGACAGUGGACAGAAUCACUGGAAUUGAGAGCCUCGCUCUUCAGG